CCCUGCCAUUUGUACACACCGCCCGUCGCUCCUACCGAUUGGGUGUGCUGGUGAAGUGUUUGGAUUGGGGCCAGCGGGGGGCAACCUCUGCUGGUGCCGAGAAGAACAUUAAACCCUCCCACCUAGAGGAAGGA
rnacentral:rRNA from 1 species